GUGCGCGUAGUUCAAUGGUAGAGCAGCGGGUUGUGAUCCCGCCCACAUCGGUUCGAUUCCGGUCGUGCACCCCA
rnacentral:tRNA from 1 species